AGCUCCUGGAAGUUUCCUCCUUGACAUCUGUGGGACGUGGGUUCUGAGCUUGGCUCUACCAUGCAGGGCUGGUGGUUUAUCUUUUCCAUGUUGAUUUGUAGAUGUUCCUGAUGUAUUCUGGACACAAGUCCUUUGUCAGAGAUAUGGAUUAUCUCUUCUACAUGGAAAAUUAAAUUGUCAGCUGAUUCCUGGAGCAUCAUAAUGGACGGACUAUCAAGACAUGAAAACAAAUGUCCAUUGACAGAUGCACAGAUAAAGAAGAUGUGGUCCAUGCAGCCAACGGCUACUGCACGCAUGCAUGCACACUGCUCAGUCGUGUAGGCUGCACGCACGCAUGCUCAGCUGCUCGGUCGUGUCCGACUCUUUGAGAUCCACGGACUAUCGCCCACCAGGCUCCUCUGUCCAUGGGAUUUUCCAGGCAAGAUUACUGGAGUGGGUUGCCAUUUCCUCCUUUGGGGAUCUUCCCGACCCAGGGAUCAAGCCCACGUCUCCUGCUCCCAGAUGCUUUACCAUCCGAGCCACCUGGGAAGCUCACAGAAAGGACUACUCCUUGGUGAUUAAGAAGAACAAAACAAUGCCAUUUGCAGUAACACGGAUGCAACGGAAGAUUGUCAUACUAAGUGGAGUAAGUCAGAAGGAGGCAAAUAGUGCAUGACGUCACUUACACAUGAAAUCUACAUUUCGGCACAAAUGAGCCUGCCUGUGAAACAGAGACAGAGUCACAGACACAGAGAGCAGGCUGGGGAGGCCAGGAGGGGCCUCUGCUCGGGGAAGGAUGGACUGGGAGGUUGAGUUGGCAGAUGAAAGCUUUCAUAUAUAAAAUGGAUCAAUAGCAAGACCCCACUAUAUAGCCCAGAGGACCAUACUCAGUACUCGAUGAUAAACCAUAAUGGAAAAGAGCAUGUACGCAUAGGCUCCCCUGGUGACUCAGCAGUAAAGAAUCCGCCUGCAGUGCAGGAGACCUGGGUUUUGUCCUUAGGAUGGGAAGAUCCCCUGGAGGAGGGCAUGGCAACCCACUCCAGUCUUCUUGCCUGGACAAUCCCAUGGACAGAGGAGCCUGGUGGGCUGCUGAACCACUUUGCUGUACAGCAGUAAUUAGCACAGCAUUGUAAACCAACUCUACUUCAGUUUAGAAAAUAAGGAAACAUAAGGAAGGGGGCUGGGCCCUGUUUGUGCUGAGUGCUGGGGCUCCACGGGCCUGUGAUGUGGCCUCAAAGGGAGCGCCCCUCUGGAAGAGGAGACAGACGUUCAGAUGAGGAGGGAGGAAAGGCUAGUUUCUCUCGCCAAGCUAACAUGGUUUUCUUUACAAAAGCUUUAUCAGAACUUUCUUCAGAGCCCAGGCAGGAUGAGGAGCUUUCCCCGUGUUUGCUUUCUGGGCUGGGUCUGUAAUCCUUCUCGGUGAGCACGGCUUCUAGACGCUUCCUUGGCUACAAGCCCCGUUGGCUGAACGUGCGCUCAACUCCUGACCUCCCCCUGGCUUCUGCCCUGGUUUUGGGUGGCUUCACCAGGACAUGGUCCGAUUCUCAGCCCUGGAACCCGGUUCUUGCUGCUCGAUGGAGGUGAGUCACACGGCCUGGGAGGGUGGGGAUUAGGGGUGAGGCCAGGCCUGAUGAAUAUCCUGCGAAGCUGGGUCGGUUUAGAACUGCUCACCUGUCCCGGGGUCACUGUGCACCACGUCAGGCAGAACCAGACUCCCCCACCACCCUCGGGGACUUCAGGGACAACCCUGAUGGGGACUCAGGAGGCUAUGAGAGGCUGAGGAACAGAGGCCAACCUUCAGAGCAAAGGGGCCAGGGCGGGGGGCUGGAUGGACCCGUCCUGACCGUGCUGUGUGACCCCGGGGUGGGGGGUGGACAGGCCCGUCCUGAGUGAGCUGUGUGACGCUGGGUGGGGAACAGACGGGCCAUCCUGUCUGAGCUGUGUGACCCUGGGGGUGCUGGCCGAUGGGCCCAUCCUGAGUGGGCUGUGUGGCCCGGGGGGGCGCUGGCUGAUGGGCCCGUCCUGAGUGAGCUGUGUGACGCUGGGUGGGGGACAGACGGGCCCGUCCUGAGUGAGCUGUGUGACCCUGGGGGGCGCUGGCCAAUGGGCCCAUCCUGUCUGAGCUGUGUGACCCCGGGGUGGGGGGCGCUGGCCGAUGGGCCGUCCUGACAGCGCUGAGUGGCCCCGGGCGGCCUCUGGCCCUCUCCGGGCCGGACUCUGAUCGUCCACAUCUGCCCUGCUGGGUCUGAGGGACCCAGUGAGCUGCAGCGAGGGCUCAGGGACUCCGCGUGCGACCUCCCCUCCCUCCCCCGGGGGCCCGGGCACUUGGGGGAGCCUGGGGACAUAAGUUAGGGCUGCAGGGACAGCCACCCCGCCUCUCGUCAGUCCUACACGGGAGGCCCGGUGCAGGGCAGAGAUGGGAGCUGGGGACGCUGCUGUUGGGGCUGCUCCCUGGCGUCACCCACUGGGGCUCCUGGCCUUCCCCGAUUAAGAGAAAGGUGAGAGGCCAGACCAGAAAUGCAGGCGAGGCUUUACUGGGGCUCCCGCUGCCACAGCGGGCCCUGAGAACAAGGAACAGGUUCCCUUGCUCAGUCUGGUUCCUUAUUUGGGGCCAGGCUAGGCCCGCGUCCAGGGGUCAGGCUGGAGGCGUGGCUCAGGUGGUCUGCCCACCCCUGCAGUGGUGCUGAGUGCAGGGGGCACGCACAGGACUUGCUUGUGCUUCAGAGGUGGCAGUCGGGGUGUUUUUGGUCUUUUUGAUCUUGUCCAUAACUUCCCCCAACUGCACAUGAGGUUAAUUUUAGUCCCUUAUAGUGAAAGUGAAGUUGCUCAGUCAUGUCCGACUCUUUGCGACCCCGUGGACUGUAGCCCAUCAGGCUCCUCUGUCCAUGGAAUUUUCCAGGCAAGGAUAGGGGAGUGGGUUGCCAUUUCCUUCUCCAGGGGACCUUCCUGACCCAGGGAUGGAACCUGGGUCUCCCACAUUGCAGGCAGACGCUUUUACCGUCUGAGCCACCAGGGAAGGCCCUUACAGCGUCUUUGUAUUUUGUUGCUCCAGGAGACGAAAUGUUUGUCCGGGUGCAAGCAUGCAGCCGAGGGCCCCAGGUGCAAGUCCCAGGUCCCAGCUGCCUCAGGAGGAGAGAGGCUGCGUUCCCGCGGUCAGCCCCAGAAAAGCGAGCAGGCAGGCAGGAUGAGGCUGGGGGCGUUGGCCACAGCCCAUCUGGUAAGCCCUGCAGCCUCCUUGCCAAAGACUUCCUGAGAUUUACGUGGUUUCUCUGGAGCCAGGCAGGGUGCCGGGCAAGCUGGCCCCUCGCCGCGGCCGACGGCUCACUGCUGUGUGAUCUCCAGUCAGCCACCGCCCGUCUCUGGGCCUCAGUCUCCCAGCCCUGAUCCUCCCGCCUGCACCCCAGCACUGGAGGACCCAGUUUAUGUGGCCGAGUCACCUGAUGGCUUCCAGCCUCAGCUUCUUCAUCUGCAAGUGGGGAUAAACACAGCGAUCCCCUGGGAGGUGUCGAGGAGGUCAUGGUGUUCCCUGCACGGGGCCAGGGGCCCAGUAGGUGGUCUGUACCUGUCUGAGGGUGUGGACAGGAGGAUCAGGGAACAGGACAGAGGGAGAGAGUGAGGGGGGAGGGGUGCAGAGACAGCGAGACGCGGAGAGAGACAGACGGAGAGAGACGAUCGAAAGACAGAGGGAGGGGCAGAAACCAAGAGACUGAAAGGCACGGGGGGCUUCUCCCACCACCCCCGCCGAGGGUCCCAGCUGCUUGGGCGGCGGUGGCCAGGCAACCCGGCUUCUCCAAGGCUCUCAGCACCGGCACCCCAGCCAGCUGUGCACGUAAGUCCUUUUGUGCAGAUGAGGCAAAGUGGCCCCAGAGCGGUCGAGGGGCUGCCCCCGGCCCUGCAGCCAAGGCUGGGCCUGCGCUUUAUACAGCGUUGGUAGGGCCUUCGCAACAGCUGACGCCCUGACUCCCACUGACCCUUCUUUCCUUCCUGCAUGUGGGGUAAGACUGGGCUGGGUGGCCUUGGAUCCAUUGCUGGCCCUCUCUGGGCAUGUCAUCUGUGACAAACCAGGCCGGCGGCUUUCUGAGGGGCUCUGAGGGGCACCGGCUCCCGCAGUAGGGCUGCUCGGUCGCCAGUGUCUUAAUCUGUUUUAAACGUGACCUCCUGGGUUUCCAGGUUACCGCUCCAGCCCCCUCUUCUCCUGAAUUUCUAGAAGUAUAUGUGCCCCCACUCCCCCAGCCUAGCCAUUAGGGGCCCCUCUGCCCCCAGGCCAGCCCCCAGCCCCAGGACUCUGGCCGCGCCAGAGUCAGCAGGGGCUGGACAGCUCAGACCCCCGUCCUGGGAGGCUGCAGGGCUUGAAGGGAACCGGAGCUGGGUGGCUGGCGUCCAAAGGACCUUAACAGUGUGAGGCUCUGGGACCCGGUGUCUCUUGGGCCCUCCUGCCAUCAGGCCUCUGUGCGGGGUCGGGGCUGCUCUGGGUCCAGGAGGCCAGACACAGGACAGCCUUUCCCGGGGCAGGAGCUGGGGGCGUGUGGGAGGCCGCAGAAGAGGCUGAGGCCGGUGGCCGCGGCAGCCUGCAAGCGCCAACAGCACAUGAGCUCCCCUGGCUUCCUCCUCCUUGGAGGCAGCAGACCACGCCGAUUAACAGAGGAUCUGAGCCCUGCAGGUUUGACGCAAGGAUAAAGGAGAUGCCGGCCGUGCGCUGAGCGCAGAGCCAGCCCCAGUGAGCACCCCUCCCCUCCGAGCACGUCCUGGGUGCUCGGCACGUCGCCUAUGGGGGCGCCUACAGACAAUGCGUUCACACGUCCAGCUUCCCCACAAACCACGCCUCCCUGUAAGGCAAACUGGAGCGAUGUCUUUUUCAUCUACGCACAGCCUGGCCCAUGGCAGAUGCCCAAGAAAUGCUUCUUGAAUAAACGAUGCUGAACGCUUCUGUCCACUGAUUUCUCCACCGGGGGUCUUAGCCGGAGAUGUCUCACAGUAACAUGGAUGGUAAAAGCAGCAACUGGGGGCUUCCUUAGUGGGCCAGUGGCUAAAAGUGCGCUCCUAAUGCAGGGGGCCGGGGUUCCCUCCCCAGUCAGGGAACGAGAGCCCACGUGCCAUGGCUAACAGUUCGCAUGCCACAGGUAAAAUCCUGCGUGCCGCAUCAAGACCCGUCACGGCCAAAUACGCAAAUGACAAACAAAUAAACACUACAAUAAAAAAGAACCGCAGUCGGGCAGGUCAGAGGGAGCUGGAGUGUCGGAUGACCGGAGAAUCCGCGUCUCUAGUCCUAGGGUUGAUUCUCCGUCCUUCACCCCACGUUGCCUCCGCCUGGCUGUGUCUUUGAGGUAAGUCGCUCGCCUUCUCUGAGGCUCCCUGUCUCUGUGUGUUCUGUGAGGCUGGCGGACCAAGUUUUCUGGAAGGGCCCGCUGAAAUGUGGAGCUCUGCACCAGGGGCGCACUCUCAGGCAUCCCUGCCCCGACCCCCCUCUCCAGGAAUGAGUCUCCAGCCCAGGGGAAGCCGGAAGAAAGCAAAGACCCAGGCUUGGUCUCACAGUGGGGUGUCAGCAGUAGCCAGCUCGGCUGACCCUGAAAGAUGUUGGAUCUCUGCUUUCUUAGCUCAAGGAAGAUCCAGUAUCAAAGACAAUAUCCCUCAACUCUCUGCCUCUUCCUAUUUGAUCAGAAGUUUGGAGAAAACAAACAUGCUCAUGGAGGAGAGUCAGAAAAACACAAAGCAGAUACUUCUGUAGACAGUCCCCUCCCCAGUCCAUCUGCGGAUCAAGCCAAACCCAAGCAUAAGGAUGCUGUGAAUCACGUAAUUUAAUAUCCCACCCUUGCCCCACUUAUUAAUAAUAAACUCCACCCCAGGUGGGGGUAUUUCCCUCAGCUCUCAGGGCCUGGAAGAACCAGCCUUCUCAUCCUCAAUGCCUUGAGUUUUACCUUCUGAGCACUAUGAUUCACAGAAUUGAUUGUAUUUCCCUUUUUUCCCUGGGCCACCAGGAAACUCACAGCUAAAUUUACCCACCAGAUAAGAUGCCUCUUUCUUUCUCUUUCUUUCCAUACUCUUUGACUUCAUUUUGUCACUUAAAAGAUACAUCAUAUCCAGGGUAUAUUUUGUAAGCUGUCUCAGAUCCUUCUUAUCAGGAUGUGGGCCACGAAUCCAUGAAAGAAGCAGACAUGCUGAACGUUUGUGUGGAGUGGAC
ensembl:lncRNA